rnacentral:tRNA from 1 species
GCGGCUAUGUUGGAAUCGGUAGACAAGCAAGCUUGAGGUGCUUGUGGCCGAAAGGUCGUGUGAGUUCAAAUCUCACUAGCCGCACCA